rnacentral:rRNA from 1 species
AGUGAACGCUGGCGGUAGGCCUAACACAUGCAAGUCGAACGGCAGCACAGUAAGAGCUGGCUCUUACGGGUGGCGAGUGGCGGACGGGUGAGGAAUACAUCGGAAUCUACUUUUUCGUGGGGGAUAACGUAGGGAAACGUACGCUAAUACCGCAGACGACCUACGGGUGAAAGCAGGGGAUCUUCGGACCUUGCUCGAUUGAAUUAGCCGACGUCGGAUUAGCUAGUUGGCGGGGGAAAGGCCCACCAAGGCGACGAUCCGUAGCUGGUCUGAGAGGAUGAUCAGCCACCCUGGAGCUGAGACACGGUCCACACUCCUACGGGAGGCAGCAGUGGGGAAUAUUGGACAAUGGGCGCAAGCCUGAUCCAGCCAUACCGCGUGGGUGAAGAAGGCCUUCGGGUUGUAAAGCCCUUUUGUUGGGAAAGAAAAGCAGCAGGUUAAUACCCCGCUGUUCUGACGGUACCCAAAGAAUAAGCACCGGCUAACUUCGUG